rnacentral:rRNA from 1 species
CCUACGGGAGGCAGCAGUGGGGAAUCUUGCGCAAUGGGCGAAAGCCUGACGCAGCAACGCCGCGUGCGGGAAGAAGGCUUUCGGGCUGUAAACCGCUUUCAGCAGGAACGAAAAUGACGGUACCUGCAGAAGAAGGAGCGGCCAACUAUGUGCCAGCAGCCGCGGUGAUACAUAGGCUUCAAGCGUUGUCCGGAUUUAUUGGGCGUAAAGAGUUCGUAGGCGGUCGAGUAAGUCGGGUGUGAAAAUUCUGGGCUCAACCCAGAGACGCCACCCGAUACUGCUUGACUUGAGUUCGAUAGGGGAGUGGGGAAUUCCUAGUGUAGCGGCGAAAUGCGCAGAUAUUAGGAGGAACACCGGUGGCGAAGGCGCCACUCUGGAUCGAUACUGACGCUGAGGAACGAAAGCAUGGGUAGCAAACAGGAUUAGAUACCCUGGUAGUCCAUGCCGUAAACGGUGGGCACUAGGUGUGGGUUUCUAUUAACGAAAUCCGCGCCGUCGCUAACGCAUUAAGUGCCCCGCUGGGGAUACGGUCGCAAGACUAGAACUCAAAGGAUUGACGG